GCAAAUCAGGACACACGCAGUUACUCUUGGCAGAGGAAAUGGCUAUGGUAGCUGGAACGCUUCACCCAGUGAGUGGCUGAGACAACGAAUGAUUCUGGAUGGGAACUGUAUAUAAGGAUGGGGACUAGCAAUGAAUUUCCCAACAGGAGCUGCUAGCCGGGAUCCUGGCAUCCGGUCUCAUCGUGCGCCCCGAGUCCCUGCUGUGUAUGGUCUGAGUCUGGGGGAACGUGAGGGGCGCUGUGCUGCGUGGGCAUCAGUUUCCAGGGGGCUGCAGCAGCAUUUUCUGAUCGUCGGGAGUGUGGGAGCUCUGAAGGAAGGCGUGUCAGCAGGAAAAAAAUCAGACUGCAGAGAUGAUAAAGAACAACAAUAAUAUAACACUGUUAUCAUUGCAACACGCCUUCAUUUUCACUCAUGCAUCUGCUCGCUCUGUGCAGGCCAACAGCUAUUUGUGCAUGCAAAUCCAAUAACCAACGAGCAAUAUGGAAAUGCAAAGCAAGCAUCUGCCCAUUCAUGCCAGCAACAGCAAAUGUGAACGUGUAAAAAGGGAGGCAAAAAUUGUUGGUGGAAAAUACAGGGCUGGUGCUACCAUUAAGGCAAACUAGGCGGUUGCUUAGGGUGUCAAGAUUUGGGGGCCCCAAAAAGCGGUGCCCCAAAUUUUUUUUUACAGUGUUCCUACGCCCCCGCCCCGAGCGCG